rnacentral:rRNA from 1 species
UACGGGAGGCAGCAGUGGGGAAUAUUGCACAAUGGGCGCAAGCCUGAUGCAGCCAUGCCGCGUGUAUGAAAAAGGCCUUCGGGUUGUAAAGUACUUUCAGUCGUGAGGAAGGUGUUAAGGUUAAUAACCUUAGCAAUUGACGUUAGCGACAGAAGAAGCACCGGCUAACUCCGUGCCAGCAGCCGCGGUAAUACGGAGGGUGCGAGCGUUAAUCGGAAUUACUGGGCGUAAAGGGCACGCAGGCGGUUAAUUAAGUUGGAUGUGAAAUCCCCGGGCUUAACCUGGGAAUGGCAUUCAAGACUGGUUAGCUAGAGUCUUGUAGAGGGGGUAGAAUUCCAUGUGUAGCGGUGAAAUGCGUAGAGAUGUGGAGGAAUACCGGUGGCGAAGGCGGCCCCUGGCAAAAGACUGACGCUCAUGUGCGAAAGCGUGGGGAGCAAACAGGGAUUAGAUACC